rnacentral:rRNA from 1 species
GUCCACGCCGUAAACGAUGAAUGCCAGCCGUUAGUGGGUUUACUCACUAGUGGCGCAGCUAACGCUUUAAGCAUUCCGCCUGGGGAGUACGGUCGCAAGAUUAAAACUCAAAGGAAUUGACGGGGGCCCGCACAAGCGGUGGAGCAUGUGGUUUAAUUCGACGCAACGCGCAGAACCUUACCAGCCCUUGACAUCCCGGUCGCGGACUCCAGAGAUGGAGUUCUUCAGUUCGGCUGGACCGGAGACAGGUGCUGCAUGGCUGUCGU